rfam:Schistosoma haematobium scaffold505_4, whole genome shotgun sequence.
ACCCAUCUGACGAGUUUAAAAUAGGAUGAAACGCGUGUCUUGUAU